rnacentral:rRNA from 1 species
CUCGUAGUUGGANUUCGGGUGGGGCCUGCCGGUCCGCCGUUUCGGUGUGCACUGGCAGGGCCCACCUUGUUGCCGGGGACGGGCUCCUGGGCUUCACUGUCCGGGACUCGGAGUCGGCGCUGUUACUUUGAGUAAAUUAGAGUGUUCAAAGCAGGCCUACGCUCUGAAUACAUUAGCAUGGAAUAACACGAUAGGACUCUGGCCUAUCCUGUUGGUCUGUAGGACCGGAGUAAUGAUUAAGAGGGACAGUCGGGGGCAUUCGUAUUUCAUUGUCAGAGGUGAAAUUCUUGGAUUUAUGAAAGACGAACUACUGCGAAAGCAUUUGCCAAGGAUGUUUUCAUUAAUCAAGAACGAAAGUUGGGGGCUCGAAGACGAUUAGAUANNNUUCGGUAGUCA